rnacentral:misc_RNA from 1 species
UCUGGCUUAUAGCCAAGCGGUCCCCUUAGAGUGCCCAACUGAAUGAUGGUAACUAAGGGCGAGGGUUGCGCUCGUUGCGGGACUUAACCCAACAUCUCACAACACGAGCUGACGACAGCCAUGCAGCACCUGUCUCCGCGUCCCCGAAGGGAACUCUCGCUUUCACGAGAUAGCGCGGGAUGUCAAGUCCAGGUAAGGUUCUUCGCGUAGCAUCGAAUUGAACCACAUGUUCCACCGCUUGUGCGGGCCCCCGUCAAUUCCUUUGAGUUUUAAUCUUGCGACCGUACUUCCCAGGCGGAUUACUUAAUGCGUUAGCUGCGACACCGCAAAGAUUAGGCUUCGCGACGUCUAGUAAUCAUCGUUUAGGGCGUGGACUAC